AUCAUUAACGAGUUAGGGUCUCCUAGGCCCGACCUCCCAACCCUUUGUCUACUAGACCUCUGUUGCUUCGGCGGACCCGUCUGAAAAUGACCGCCGGAGGACCGCCUACCCGGCGUCCUCUGGCCAGUGUCCGCCGAUAGCCUACUAUCUUAACUCUGGAACAAUCGUGACAUUUGUCUAAGUGAAUUUAUUCAAUUAAAAGCAAAAACUUUCAACAACGGAUCUCUUGGUUCUGGCAUCGAUGAAGAACGCAGCGAAAUGCGAUAAGUAAUGCGAAUUGCAGAAUUCCAGUGAGUCAUCGAAUCUUUGAACGCACAUUGCGCCCUUUGGUAUUCCGAAGGGCAUGCCUGUUCGAGCGUCAUUAUCACCCCCUCAAGCCUCGUGCUUGGUGUUGGACGGCUCGGUGGACUCCUUCCACCCGUCCUAAAGACAAUGACGGCGGCCUCGCGGAACCCCCGGUACACUGAGCUUCUUAACUGAGCACGUAUCGGAUCAAGGGCGCCCGGGGCACGGUCCUCUCCCCCUCUGGGGGAAAUUUUCUCAAGGUUGACC
rnacentral:rRNA from 1 species